GUUGAAAGCCUUAGAAAUGUACCAUUUCGUGCUAAAAAAAAUUUUCAGACAGUUUUGUGAUUGCUUGGCUAGACCACUCGUCAAAGAUGGAUUUAAUUUUAAUGUUAAAGUUGCAGAAGGUGAAUUACCGAAACUAUUGAUAAAAUUAUGGUAAUCGUCGAGUCGAGCAGAAGCUAAUAAUUGCAUAAAAUAACAGUUCAAUAAGGCACAAUACAAAAAGUAGCUCGAUCUACACAUGUCACGCGAGUUAGCGGAAGAAACCCUCAUGUACCGAUUUACCAUCUGCGAAUCGCUGCUGAGUCGAAACAAAAUUGGGCCACUUCUAUAACGGAAUAUUACUGGUGAUGAAAAGUGGGUCACUUACGUUACUUACAACAAAAUCAAACGAAAACGGUCGUGAUUGAAACGCAGUGACCCAACUCAAACGGUGGCCAAGCCUGUAUUGACGGCCACGAAGGUUUUGCUAUGUGUUUGGUUGAAUUGGCGAGGAUUCAUUUAGUAUGAGCUGUUCUCGUCCGGCCGAACUCUUAAAGCGGAUCUCUACUUUCACCAAUUGGACCGUCUGAAGGAAGCAAUCGCCCAGAAGAGGAGGUUACAUCACAAAUUUGUCACAGUUUCUGCAUAGUUAUGCAAAUCUUGGCGCUGCAGAGCAUGAAAUUUCCAACGCUUAAGCUGAAAUAAAUUUCAAUAGUUAAUUUUAAUCUACGUUUUGCGAAACCUGUAAAGCGGCAUUACAAAAUGAUUGCUGGUGGAAAAUUUACGCAGGAAUAUGCGCACUUUUCAUAACUCAUAAUUGCACCGAUAAAAUUGUAAAAUAUGUAAAGAUAACUAGGAGGGCUGAAAUCAUGUGUAUGCUCAUCCGCCAAUUUUUUGCGACUCCCACUUCAUCAGCUGCCAGUUUUUUUUUACUUUUUUACUUUUAUUUUAAAUUUGUUUCUGUACUUUAGUAACAUUAAUAAAUUACUAAUAAAAAAAAUUAGAUGUUAAAAAUAUUUUUUGCCUUUAAUUUACGACACUUUAAAAAUUACGUAGGGGGUAUUAAGGGGGUUUUAUACCUUAAUACAAAAGUAGUGGACUCCUUUUUACUAAACCAUAUAUAUUACAUAAUUUCCUUUCUGCGAAACACUGUAUUUAAGAGUAGUUUACGCUGAGAGCAACGUACAACAGCGAACAAGCAUUGAUUGGUGGUCUUGUUUGAUCUUGAUUUGCUACGUUCUUGCGAGAUGCGUCAUUUUAAGUUUACUAGCGCAUAACCUUAAAGAAGUGCAAGAACAAAAAACAUUGUCGUACACAUACAUACAUAUAUACAUAACGCUGUAGUUGCAGUAUUUGUGUGCAGCGAGAAAGAAUUUGUCGGCUUGAGGGUUAAAAGUACUAUAUCUAUGUAUGUGCUUAUAAAUUUAACUAUUUAUUAAAAGCUCUUGCUUAUUUUACAGUUUUCAGGUAUAAUGACAUAAAUGAAGGUAAUAUUUUAUGCUACUUAUAUAUUAGCCGGCUAUGCGUGUAAAGCGUGAGCACUUUCAAUGAUGACGUCACCACAACUGUUGUUUAUAUAACAACCGAGUAAGGAGGAAUACACUCAAUGAAUAAAAAAAAGCUGUUUCUAUAAGUAAGGGCCAUCAGAAAUUGCUGUUCUGUUGAAUUUACUUCACUUGUGUUUACUUAUUUUGAUCGGUUAGUCAGUUUGUAUGACAGCUAUAUGCUAUAGUAGUCCGAUUUGAGUAAUAUGCUCGGAUAUUGUAGGGUUGCCUUGGACAGUAAUCUAUGCCAAAUUUCGUAAAGAUAUCUUGUCAAAUAAAAAAGCUUUUCAUACAAGCACUUUAUGCCGAUCGUUCAGUUUGUAUGGCAGCUACAUGCUAUAGUGGUGCGAUAUCGGCAGUUCCAACAAAUGAGCAGCUUCUUGGGGGGAAAAGGAAGUGUGCAAAAUUUCAGAUCAAUAUCUCCAAUAUCUAGAUACUACUAUAAAAUAUAAAUGUUAAUUCUCGCAAAAUCAUUAAGAAUAAUUAAGACUUUUCAUAAACCUUAAAAUAGAAAAUUGCUUAAGUUUCCCAAAUUUUGUAUUAAUUACUAACACUAGAACGCUUAACAGCAAAUUGUCUAUAAAUUAUUAAACAUUACACUCGUAAAUGUUUCAACUCUCCGAAGCGAUAUCUGCAGUCAUGCUGAGACUCAAUAUGCCAGUAAUAUUUAUUGAGAGCCCAGCCCUAUUGUAUUUUUGCAGCCGCUACUCGGCCUCGUUUAUCGUUUGCUGGUCGUUGAUUGUUUGUUUUUGUUGUUGUUACUGUGGCUGUUUCUGUUGUGUUGAUAACAACCCCCUGAUAUGGCUGUGACAUGACCUGCUGUGGAUUGCGACUACAGCGAUGGCAAAUCGCUGAUCGUAGUCGCAAUUAAAUGCGGGCGGGUGUUUCUCAUAUAUAUGUAUAUACAUACAUAUAGAUACAUAAAUACAUAUGCAACACAUACAUAUAUAAUAUAUAAACGCUGCACUGUACUCCCAUUGUCGCAGUGCUGGAAUCCUGCUUGGCGUUGAUGUUCGUGCUUGAAGCAUGCCUUGCUGCAUAACAUUCUUCGCUUGACGUUAGCUCAAUUUCCGUAGACAAAUGGCGUACGGCUAGCGGACGUACAGCGUGUGAGUGGGGUGUUAUUUGCAUUGCUGUUGCCGCCGUUAUUGCAUGUUUUAUAGAGAUUGUCAGCAAAUGGGGUUAUUCGCGUUGAAUACACACAUACGGAUGCAUAAUGAAUGAAUGCACAUAUGUUUACUUCAAUGUACAGUUAACUGAAGAAAUGUUCAGCUCUUAAAUAGUCAUUUAUUUUGUGCUUUGAAAUGUUAUGAGUACUUACAUUUAACUUCACGUGACAUAAAUAUUUCAAAUAAAAAUGUAAAAACAGUUCGGAAGCACAUCUUGUGGGAAAUUCAAAAAAAAAAAAACAACUUUCUACAUUUCGAUAGGUUAUAACUUUAAAAUAACAUACAAAUAAUUUAAAUCAAAAUAAUUUUUGAGUUACAGCCACAGCUCAGUUCAAUCAGUCAAUCGAAGAAUUUAUCUUAAAGGGGGUGUUCCAGUGUUGAAUUAAAAAAAAAUAGAUUUUUUUCAUAUUUUCAAAGUUUAACUUUUUAAGAAUAUGUCCACGAGAGGAUUUUUAAACAUUUAAAUUAUUUUCGGAGAUAUAGACUAUUUAAGAAUAUGUCUGCGAGAGGAUUUUUGAUUUCGAGGAUAAAUUUAAAUUAUUUUCGGAGAUUUUUACUGACCCGUCCUCUAAACUGGUGCCACUUGGUUCAAAUCGAACAAAAGACUUUACGCGAAACUUUAAAUGCGUCUUUCUCAGACCAGACAUAUUCAAUACGAUACCCACGAAUUCUCGAGUUCUACUGAAAUUUUCAGAGAAUCUUCUUUAUAUAAUAAAUCUCUCUCGAU